GGGGCCAGAAGUGUGGGGAUGAAGGGUACCAGAGCAAAUGAGCUAGAAUUACUGGAAAUGAAGGCCAAAUAGAAGGAUUUGGAAAUAGAGAUUUCUGGCCAUGUCAUGGUCUAUGGUGUGGCUGUUGAGUGGGUGGCUGCAGUGGAGUGAGGACAAAGGUUGGUGGGGUAGAAAACAUCAAAGAACAAGACCAAGUGGCUCGUUGAGUUGCACAUACAGAUAUUGAAGUUUUGAGAAUUAUUGUAGGAAGAGGGCAGUGAACAUGAUUGUAACCAGGACCUAAAGUCUUCAGUGAAGGAGGAAGGAUGAUUAAGAGGAUCCUGAAAUCAACCAAGGCUGAGUCAGAUGGAUUUCGAUCAAUGGAACCCUUCCUCUCCAGCUCUGGCCACUCCUGGGUGCCCCUUGGGGUUCACUGUCAUGGCAACGGGUCUGUGGAGUGGUGUGGAAGCCGAUCGGGGAAGCUAGGCAGCCAGAACGCUGCCUGGCCUGCCGGCGCCACAGCCAAGGAGGGCGGCCACCUGAUUAAUGCCUGCCUGAUCC
rnacentral:lncRNA from 1 species